GCAUUGGUACUUGUACCAGAUGGCGACCGGCGCACGGGUGAGUAACGCGUAUGCAACCUACCUUUUACUGGGGGAUAGCCAGAAGAAAUUCUGAUUAAUACCCCAUAAUAUUAUAGACUGGCAUUGGUUUAUGAUUAAAGUUUCGGCGGUAAAAGAUGGGCAUGCGUUUUAUUAGUUAGUUGGUAAGGUAACGGCUUACCAAGACUACGAUAAAUAGGGGUCCUGAGAGGGAGAUCCCCCACACUGGUACUGAGACACGGACCAGACUCCUACGGGAGGCAGCAGUGAGGAAUAUUGGACAAUGGAGGCGACUCUGAUCCAGCCAUGCCGCGUGCAGGAAGACGGCCCUAUGGGUUGUAAACUGCUUUUAUACAGGAAGAAAUCUUUUCACGUGUGGAAAGUUGACGGUACUGUAAGAAUAAGCACCGGCUAACUCCGUGCCAGCAGCCGCGGUAAUACGGAGGGUGCAAGCGUUAUCCGGAAUCAUUGGGUUUAAAGGGUCCGUAGGCGGAUUAUUAAGUCAGAGGUGAAAUCCCACAGCUUAACUGUGGAACUGCCUUUGAUACUGGUAGUCUUGAGUUAUAA
rnacentral:rRNA from 1 species